ACUCCUACGGGAGGCAGCAGUGGGGAAUCUUGGACAAUGGGGGCAACCCUGAUCCAGCCAUGCCGCGUGAGUGAUGAAGGCCUUAGGGUCGUAAAGCUCUUUCGCCUGUGAUGAUAAUGACAGUAGCAGGUAAAGAAACCCCGGCUAACUCCGUGCCAGCAGCCGCGGUAAUACGGAGGGGUUAGCGUUGUUCGGAAUUACUGGGCGUAAAGCGCGCGUAGGCGGGAUUAGUCAGUUAGAGGUGAAACUCCCGAGGGCUCAACCCGUGGAACUGCCUUUAAUACUGCUAGUCUUGAGUUCGAGAGAGGUGAGUGGAAUUCCGAGUGUAGA
rnacentral:rRNA from 1 species